rnacentral:rRNA from 1 species
UAUCUCUGUAGAGUCUGCAUAUCAAUAAGCGGAGGAAAAGAAACUAACAAGGAUUCCCUUAGUAACGGCGAGUGAAGCGGGAAGAGCUCAAAUUUGAAAUCUUCAAGGUUCUACCUUGACGAAUUGUAGUUUAUAGAAGUGUUUUCUGUUAGAUGAGUAGGCAAAAGUUCCUUGGAAUAGGGACAUCAUAGAGGGUGAGAAUCCCGUAUUUGACUAUUCCUUCUAGCGUUGUGAUACACUUUCAAAGAGUCGGAUUGUUUGGGUAAUGCAGUCCAAAAUGGGUGGUAAAUUUCAUCUAAAGCUAAAUAUUGGCGAGAGACCGAUAGCGAACAAGUACCGUGAGGGAAAGAUGAAAAGAACUUUGAAAGAGAGUUAAACAGUACGUGAAAUUGUCAAAAGGGAAGCGUUUGACACCAGUGUUGUUUUUCCGAAAAUCAAUUACAAAUUGCUUGAUUUGCAGGUUGUAUUGACCUUAUCAGCUUUCUUCACUUUGUUUUCGAGGUCUUUCUUGAUGCACUUUUCGGUUAACAAGUCAACAUCAAUUUCUUUGUUGUAAAAGAGUAUUCGGAAGGUGGCUUUCUUUUCGGAGAAAGUGUUUAUAGCCCUAUACUUCUACAAUCGGAGAGAUUGAGGUCUGCAGCGUAGAUCCUUCGGGGUUAGAUACACUUGUGCUAAGUUGUAGCUUUUCAUAGACAACUUGUUGACUAUGUUUAGUCAUGCGGCUUACUCGCUUGUGCUAUUUUACCUACGCUUAGGAUGUUGACUGAUAUGUAGUCGU